UUUGGGUGUAGAUUUUGAUUUGCCAUACUGUAUAGGAGCUGGCUGGCAUGAGCCGUCGGGCUUCAGAGAAGCUUCAGGUGGCCGAAGGGCUAGCCUCCGGUCGGUAGCAGCUAGAGGCGCGGGUAGCGGAGCUGGAGGCGCGCAACCGGGAGCUGGAGAGGCGGCGCUCCGAGUCGUCGAAGAAGUUCGCCAAGGAGAAGCGCGAGCUCCAGAAGGCAAACUUCGACAUGGCGCGCAACCUGAAGGCCUGUACCAAGGCCAACGAGGACCACACCCUGCGCAACGCGGCGGAGAAGAGGGAGGCCCUGACGGAGGGCAAGCUCAAGCUAGAGCAGGAUGCACAUUGAGGCUCGGAGGCUCAGCUGGCUGAGGCGAGGAGGUUGCUGGAUCGCCUGACCGACAAGUUGCACGCCGUCUUGGCCGCGUUCUGAGCCGAGCGGGGUUGCUAUGGCCGAGGACCUGGCAGCCCGACUGGAGGCGGCGCGGGUCCGGCUCAGGACCUUCAUGAAAAAGGUGGCUGGGGAUGCAAUCCAGUACACCAUGGGACUUGUGAAGUCCCACCUCGCGGAGGCAGACCUGGAGCCGGUUGGUGACGGGAUCCCACCCGGGAUCCCGCCCGAGUGCUCCAACGAGGAGUGGGAGGCCUACCUCGCCAGCGCGAAGCCCCUGGCUGACCGCAUCACCACCGACCUUGACCUUUAUUUUGUUUUUAUCUGCACUGAGGACAAGUGGUUAGGAUGUCACAAGAACAAUAUUUGUUUUGUUUUGUAAAUAAGUUGUCAUGAUUUUUAGUUUUAUUCGUUUGCUUGA